rnacentral:sRNA from 1 species
GUGUAGAAAUAUUUAGUUCAGAGAUUUUGUUAUGCACGACAUGUUUUUGUUGUUGUUUCGAAGUAGAUGAAGAAAAGAGAAGAAGCAGAAGCGAAGAAGAAGAAGAUACCGUGAAGAGAAGCAAUGGAAGCAGUGAUGUUGUUUUUAAGUUUUGUAGGUUGCUUUAUUCCGUUUCUAGUGUUCCGUGUAAUCUCUGUCACAAAUCAAAAAUGGUAUAAAAUUUCACCUUUU